GACGAACGCUGGCGGCGUGCUUAACACAUGCAAGUCGAACGGAAAGGCCCUUCUUGUGUUACACGCUCGACUGGCGAAUGAGUAAGACAUAAGUAAGUAACCCUCCCUUUUCUUUUGGCUACCUUCAGCAAUCUCGGGUUCCUACCGUAUCUUCCCUCCUCCUGCAUGGUGGGGGUAGGCCUUCUUCGGCGGUUGGGGAUGGACUCGCGGCUUAUCAGCUUGUUGGUGGGGUAGUGGCAUACCAAGGCUUUGACGGGUAGCCGGCCUGAGAGGGUGACCGGCCACAUUGGGACUGAGAUACGGCCCAGACUCCUACGGGAGGCAGCAGUGGGGAAUAUUGCACAAUGGGCGGAAGCCUGAUGCAGCAACGCCGCGUGAGGGAUGACGGCCUUCGGGUUGUAAACCGCUUUCGCCUGUGACGAAGCGAGAGUGACGGUAGUGGGUAAAGAAGCACCGGCUAACUACGUG
rnacentral:rRNA from 1 species